rnacentral:rRNA from 1 species
CCUGCGGAAGGAUCAUUAACGAGAAGACCAGGGUUUUCCGGCUCUGGUGGGGGUGUGGGCCUUUAGGCCUCCCCUGCUUCUUCACCCGGUGUAUAUCAUGCUUCGUUGCUUUGGCGGGCUGUGUGGAGGGAACUCCCACCGCUGGCCCCGGACGCGCUCCGGGCCCAUGCUGCUUGCCCGCCGGAGGCCUUCAAACCAAAAGUCUGUUUUCCGUGACGUGCGAGUGAUUACACAAUUAUCUAAAACUUUCAACAACGGAUCUCUUGGUUCUGGCAUCGAUGAAGAACGCAGCGAAAUGCGAUAAGUAAUGUGAAUUGCAGAAUUCAGUGAAUCAUCGAAUCUUUGAACGCACAUUGCGCCCCUUGGUAUUCCGAGGGGCAUGCCUGUUCGAGCGUCAUUGCAACCCUCAAGCCCAGCUUGGUAUUGGGCGCCGCGUCCCCGUCGUGGGGCGGGCCCGAAAAUCAGUGGCGGUCCAGUGAGACUUCAAGCGUAGUAGAUUGUUCGCCCGCUUUGGAACUUCUUUCUGCGUGCCUGCCAAAAACCCCACAUCGUUUCAAUGGU